UACGAAGGGGGCUAGCGUUGCUCGGAAUCACUGGGCGUAAAGGGUGCGUAGGCGGGUCUUUAAGUCAGGGGUGAAAUCCUCCAGCUCAACUGGAGAACUGCCUCGGAUACUGGGUGCCUCGAGUGUGGUAGGGGUGUGCGGAACUAUCGGUGGAGCGGUGAAAUGCGUUGAUAUCGAUAGGAACUCCGGUGGCGAAGGCGGCACACUGGACCACAACUGACGCUGAGGCGCGAAAGCCAGGGGAGCAAACGGG
rnacentral:rRNA from 1 species